UCUGUUUUCAGCCCCGAUUAAGGAAAGAAACCCCGGGGACGUAGGGAGCAGCUCUCACGGAAUGGGAGCUUACGUUUAGCGAUUUAGGGAGUACUUCGGCCAAGGCCAACCAAGUAAAGGCAAGGCGCCCAUGUAUGGUUGACGG